rnacentral:rRNA from 1 species
GAGAGGAGGUGCAUGGCCGUCGUCAGUCGUACUGUGAAGCAUCCUGUUAGUCAGGCAACGAGCGAGACCCACGCCAACAGUUGCCAGCUCGUCCUCCGGGAUGGUGGGGACACUGUUGGGACCGCCUCUGCUAAAGAGGAGGAAGGAAUGGGCAACGGUAGGUCAGCAUGCCCCGAAUUAUCUGGGCUACACGCGGGCUACAAUGGGUGGGACAAUGGGUAUCGACACCGAAAGGUGAAGGCAAUCUCCUAAACCCAUCCGUAGUUCGGAUUGUGGGCUGCAACUCGCCCACAUGAAGCUGGAAUCUGUAGUAAUCGUGUCUCAAAAUGGCACGGUGAAUAUGUCCCUGCUCCUU